AGAAAUGAGCAACUCUUUUGGUGCCUUUUAUUUGCCCUUUUGUUUCCACAUUCUUGAAUACAAUUUCUUUUCUUUUGGUAGAAGCCUGUGUAAUUAGAAUUAUAUUGCACCAAGUCUGCAUUGAAUACUGGAAGAUGGUUCUUUCAGUUUCAAUAAGGCUAAAACUUAAGCCUUCUUACUUUUCCUCUCCCUCUCAACAUACACCCACUCCAUUUACAGGCAGAAGAGGAAAGUAAAAAAAAACGUAAAGGCACAAUAGUGAAACUAGAGCCCUUUUGGCCCUUGUGUCGAGCUGUGUCGUGUCGUGCUAUGAGAUCAAACGCAUUAUUAUUUUGGGCAAAACUUAAAUUAUUUUUUUAAUGAAAUUAAACAUUUUCUUUAAGAAACUAAAUGAAUUCUUUGAAAAUCCAACAAAUAUCAUAAAAAAAUUACAAGUAAAAAAGAAAUAAUAAUUAAAACAUUAUGUAGUUAUUGUUUUAGUAAAUAUUAGUAUAAAAUAAUUUAAUUAAGAUCCAUACAAGUCGGGAACUAAUAUAGUUAAAUUGAAACAAUUAAGGUUAGUUAAUUUUAAAAUAUUUAAGGUUAUUAAAUUAACCAUGUAAUUAAAUAUUUGUUAAGUGCUAUGUAAAUUUUAAAAAUAUUUAAAUUCUUUUUUUCUUUUAAAUAAAAUAACCAGCCUUCAUCCAAAAAAAAAAAA